rnacentral:rRNA from 1 species
GCGGCCCUACGGGACGCAGCAGUAGGGAAUAUUGCUCAAUGGGGGAAACCCUGAAGCAGCAACGCCGCGUGGAGGAUGAAGGUUUUAGGAUUGUAAACUCCUUUUGUAAGAGAAGAUUAUGACGGUAUCUUACGAAUAAGCACCGGCUAACUCCGUGCCAGCAGCCGCGGUAAUACGGAGGGCGCAAGCGUUACUCGGAAUCACUGGGCGUAAAGAGCGCGUAGGCGGGUGGUCAAGUCAGAUGUGAAAUCCUGUAGCUUAACUACAGAACUGCAUUUGAAACUGAUCAUCUGGAGUAUGGGAGG